UGCCAAAGACGAUGUGGGCUUUCUGG
rnacentral:piRNA from 1 species